UCGACCCGAGUUCCCGGGUCAGGCAAGACUACCCGCUGAACUUAA
rnacentral:rRNA from 1 species